rnacentral:rRNA from 1 species
AUUGAACGCUGGCGGCAGGCCUAACGCAUGCAAGUCGAACGAGUGGCGGACGGGUGAGUAAUGUCUGGGAAACUGCCCGAUGGAGGGGGAUAACUACUGGAAACGGUAGCUAAUACCGCAUACCAUCGGAUGUGCCCAGAUGGGUUUAGCUAGUAGGUGGGGUAACGGGGCACCUAGGCGACGAUCCCUAGCUGGUCUGAGAGGAGGACCAGCCACACUGGAACUGAGACACGGUCCAGACUCCUACGGGAGGCAGCAGUGGGGAAUAUUGCACAAUGGGCGCAAGCCUGAGGCAGCCAUGCCGCGUGUAUGAAGAAGGCCGUCGGGUUGUAAAGUACUGUCAGCGAGGAGGCGUUACUCGCAGAAGAAGCACCGGCGAACUCCGUGCCAGCAGCCGCGGUAAUAC